GGGCGGCGGGGGCCUAUACUGCAAGUCGAGCGAACAGACAAGGAGCUUGCUCCUUUGACGUUAGCGGCGGACGGGUGAGUAACACGUGGGUAACCUACCUAUAAGACUGGGAUAACUUCGGGAAACCGGAGCUAAUACCGGAUAAUAUUUCGAACCGCAUGGUUCGAUAGUGAAAGAUGGUUUUGCUAUCACUUAUAGAUGGACCCGCGCCGUAUUAGCUAGUUGGUAAGGUAACGGCUUACCAAGGCGACGAUACGUAGCCGACCUGAGAGGGUGAUCGGCCACACUGGAACUGAGACACGGUCCAGACUCCUACGGGAGGCAGCAGUAGGGAAUCUUCCGCAAUGGGCGAAAGCCUGACGGAGCAACGCCGCGUGAGUGAUGAAGGUCUUCGGAUCGUAAAACUCUGUUAUUAGGGAAGAACAUACGUGUAAGUAACUAUGCACGUCUUGACGGUACCUAAUCAGAAAGCCACGGCUAACUACGUGCCAGCAGCCGCGGUAAUACGUAGGUGGCAAGCGUUAUCCGGAAUUAUUGGGCGUAAAGCGCGCGUAGGCGGUUUUUUAAGUCUGAUGUGAAAGCCCACGGCUCAACCGUGGAGGGUCAUUGGAAACUGGAAAACUUGAGUGCAGAAGAGGAAAGUGGAAUUCCAUGUGUAGCGGUGAAAUGCGCAGAGAUAUGGAGGAACACCAGUGGCGAAGGCGACUUUCUGGUCUGUAACUGACGCUGAUGUGCGAAAGCGUGGGGAUCAAACAGGAUUAGAUACCCUGGUAGUCCACGCCGUAAACGAUGAGUGCUAAGUGUUAGGGGGUUUCCGCCCCUUAGUGCUGCAGCUAACGCAUUAAGCACUCCGCCUGGGGAGUACGACCGCAAGGGUGAAACUCAAAGGAAUUGACGGGGACCCGCAC
rnacentral:rRNA from 1 species